rnacentral:rRNA from 1 species
GAUGAACGCUGGCGGCGUGCCUAAUACAUGCAAGUCGAGCGAAUGGAUUAAGAGCUUGCUCUUAUGAAGUUAGCGGCGGACGGGUGAGUAACACGUGGGUAACCUGCCCAUAAGACUGGGAUAACUCCGGGAAACCGGGGCUAAUACCGGGUAACAUUUUGAACCGCAUGGUUCGAAAUUGAAAGGCGGCUUCGGCUGUCACUUAUGGAUGGACCCGCGUCGCAUUAGCUAGUUGGUGAGGUAACGGCUCACCAAGGCAACGAUGCGUAGCCGACCGGAGAGGGUGAUCGGCCAGCCGGGGACGGAGACACGGCCCAGACUCCUACGGGAGGCAGCCGUAGGGAAUCUUCCGCAAUGGACGAAAGUCUGACGGAGCAACGCCGCGUGAGUGAUGAAGGCUUUCGGGUCGUAAAACUCUGUUGUUAGGGAAGAACAAGUGCUAGUUGAAUAAGCUGGCACCUUGACGGUACCUAACCAGAAAGCCACGGCUAACUACGUGCCAGCAGCCGCAGUAA